rnacentral:rRNA from 1 species
CUGGCUCAGGAUGAACGCUGGCGGCGUGCCUAACACAUGCAAGUCGAGCGGUCUAGUGCUCAACUGAACUUCGUUCAGUUGAGGUUGAAGGA